UUGAGCCGUAUGCAGGGUGACCUGCACGUACGGUUCUUAGGGGGCGGCGGCACAGCAAUGUGCCGCUGCUACCCGAC
rnacentral:ncRNA from 1 species